CCUACGGGUGGCUGCAGUGGGGAAUAUUGGACAAUGGGGGGAACCCUGAUCCAGCCAUGCCGCGUGUGUGAAGAAGGCCCUCGGGUUGUAAAGCACUUUCAGUGAGGAAGAACGCCUGGUGGUUAAUACCCAUCAGGAAAGACAUCACUCACAGAAGAAGCACCGGCUAACUCCGUGCCGGCAGCCGCGGUAAUACGGAGGGUGCGAGCGUUAAUCGGAAUUACUGGGCGUAAAGCGCGCGUAGGUGGCUUGAUAAGCCGGUUGUGAAAGCCCCGGGCUCAACCUGGGAACGGCAUCCGGAACUGUCAAGCUAGAGUGCAGGAGAGGAAGGUAGAAUUCCCGGUGUAGCGGUGAAAUGCGUAGAGAUCGGGAGGAAUACCAGUGGCGAAGGCGGCCUUCUGGACUGACACUGACACUGAGGUGCGAAAGCGUGGGUAGCAAACAGGAUUAGAUACCCGGGUAGUC
rnacentral:rRNA from 1 species